GACGAACGCUGGCGGCGUGCUUAACACAUGCAAGUCGAACGGAAAGGCCCUGCUUUUGUGGGGUGCUCGAGUGGCGAACGGGGGAGUAACACGUGAGUAACCUGCCCUUGACUUUGGGAUAACUUCAGGAAACUGGGGCUAAUACCGGAUAGGAGCUCCUGCUGCAUGGUGGGGGUUGGAAAGUUUCGGCGGUUGGGGAUGGACUCGCGGCUUAUCAGCUUGUUGGUGGGGUAGUGGCUUACCACGGCUUUGACGGGUAGCCGGCCUGAGAGGGUGACCGGCCACAUUGGGCCUGAGAUACGGCCCAGACUCCUACGGGAGGCAGCAGUGGGGAAUAUUGCACAAUGGGCGGAAGCCUGAUGCAGCAACGCCGCGUGCGGGAUGACGGCCUUCGGGUUGUAAACCGCUUUCGCCUGUGACGAAGCGUGAGUGACGGUAAUGGGUAAAGAAGCACCGGCUAACUACGUG
rnacentral:rRNA from 1 species